ACAUCCUUUCAUCCCUAAUCUCAUCCUCGACCACAACCACUGCUUUGACCACGAUCGUCUCUCCGAAGAUUUGUGAGACAGUUCCAUUAGGUUAUGGGCACUAAGUGGUGAAACAUUGAUGGAGAUGGUUGGUGACACUUCCAUUGUGUAUUCAGUGGAUUCACAUGCUUCCGAAGUCAUUGUUAGUGGGAGUGAAGAUUGUUCGGCAAAGAUAUGGAAAGAUGGAAUUUGUGUCUAGAGCAUUGAGCAUCCUGGUUGCGUUUGGGAUGCCAAGUUUUUGGAAAAUGGAGAUAUUGUCACAGCUUGUUUAGAUGGAGUAGUACGUGUCUGGACGGCAGAACAGGAAAGAAUUGCUGAUCCCCAAGAAUUGGAGUUAUUUGCUUCAAGACUGUCUCAGUAUAAGUUGAAGAGGUGCCCCACAACAGCUGCCACACACACACACACACACUCACAAAGAGGAAGUUCCAAAAUCCUUUGGAAGAGGGUUGGAGGAUUGAAAUUGGAAGAAUUACCUGGGAUGGAUGCUUUACAAAUUCCAGGUCUGGUUACACUAUUCCAUUUUAAUAAGAAGCCAAGAUGCUAUCCGCUUCUAUACCUUUUUCCUUUUACCCCUUAAUUUCAUGAAUCUUUGUUGCAAAGUGGAUGGGUGGCAAGGUUUUCUUUUUCUUGAUAUUUGUGAGAUUCUAGGCCAGCUCACACACCCUCGACUAAUCUCACGGGAUAAUCCGCUUGACCCUACAACAUUUGGGUGUUAAGGAAACUCAUAGGAAAUUAAUUUACAGCUGCCACACACACACACUCACAAAGAGGAAGUUCCAAAAUCCUUUUGUUCAUCUCUCUUUUUUUUUCUCUCUCUCUAGCUUAUUUUGACUUUUUGAGGCAGAAGCAUGAUUCUGAGCAUAUCUAAAAUAAUGUCAGUAUAGAAUAUAUUCUGUUCUGAGUAUGAUUUUGCCGGCCUGUGUUAUGUUUAACGCCUUUCUUUUUG